rnacentral:rRNA from 1 species
AUGGAGCUCCAGAGUGCCGGGCGCACGAGCACGACACAGCAGCCCCUGCCGGAACUCGACACUCCUCCUGCAAAGAGGGGGCGGAGAACUUCAUCAGCUGAAACAAAGACUCAACCCUGCGGAGAAGGUGACAUUUGUCAAGAUGCCCCAAAAACAAGACAAGACUUUGAGCUUGACAAACUUCCUGAGGACAUGCUACAUCAUAUACAUUCCCUCAUGCCUGUACUAGACACUGGUCGUGCUGCCUGUGUAUCUAGACGAUUUCUGUGUUCAUGGAGAUGCUACUCGAACCUCACACUCAACAUACAAACACUUUGGUCGCCUGGCGAUAAAUUUGAGGGAAGUGAAAUGUAUUUCAUCAACAAAGUUGACAAAAUUCUUAAUAACUAUUCCGACAAUGGGAUGAAGGUGAAGACACUAAAACUUAAUCUUUGGCAUUGUAGCAGUGUGAGUGCCUCCUACCUAGACCGGUGGCUCAGAAUUGCUGUCAAACCUGGGAUCAAAGAACUUCGCUUGUUGCUGUCUCCUUCCAUGAAGGAAAAGUACUGCUUCCCAUGUUCGGUUUUAUUUGAUGAGGCGGCUACGAGUUUGAUCGAGUCCCUCUAUAUCUCCAACUGCACUUUUCAUCCCAUAGGAACACUUGGCUGCUUUAGAAGAUUGAAAAGUUUAGUUCUGUGCGGUGUUCACAUUACUGAGGAGGGACUACGACAGUUGGUCUCAAAAUCUUUCAGCUUAGAAUGGUUGGAGAUCUUUUCGUGCAAUGAGAUAAUUUGCUUGAAGAUACCUUGUACACUGCAGAAGCUCAAGCUCCUCAAGGUUGGAAGGUGUCCAAAGAUUCAGGUGAUAGAGAUCAGUGCCCCAAAUCUCUCCGCUUUUCACCAUUAUGGGUUCCCGCCAGAGAUCUAUAUUGAAGAUUCUUCCCAACUUACGGAAGUAUAUUUGUCAUCUUUAUAUCCGUCCGGAAUUCUCUCUUACAGUUGUGCGAAGCUUCCAUCUAUCGCCAGCAAUGUUGAGAGGCUUACCCUGGUGUUCUGCGGUGAGAAUGUCAACAUGCCAAUGCUUCAUGAAAAGCUCCACCACCUCAAGAGUUUGGAGUUUGAAUUUCACGGCUCAGGAGCCUGCUCCCCUGUCUAUGAUAUCUUCUCUCUGGUUUCUUUUCUUGAUGCUUCUCCUGCCUUGGAAUCUUUGAUCUUGCGUGUAGCACGAAACGCCAUAGUAGAUCAUUGUGAUGCUGGGGACGAUGUAUACCUAAAGGGGAAAUCAGCAUACCAGCAUGACCGCCUCAAACGGGUGACAAUCACGGGCUUCUGUUCAGCCAAGAGCCUGAUUAAGCUUGUGAUCAGCAUCCUUGAGAGCGCUCCUUCACUCGAGCGCCUCACGCUGGAUACGACUCCGCGUGGCUGCGGUAGGAAGCUUCGCGAUACUAGCAUAUGCACCGCCGCAAAGUACAAGAGUAAAUGCUGUUGGAUAGGCGAGAGAUCCCUCGAAGAGUCUAACAGAGCUGUUGAGGCUGCAGGUAGAUACAUCGCUGGGAGAAUUCCAUCGGCUGUUGAAUUUGAGGUCCUUGAGCCCUGUAGGCGAUGCCAUACUGGCAACCCGGUAGAUGAUGUGUUAAAUAAAAGUUAG